AAAUGCCGUGAAGUAAAGGGUAUGUUUCUACAAGGCCCUGGACAUCCUGAUUUCAUGCAGUUUGUCAACAUUAACCCCCAGGAGAAGUUGUCACCACUGGAAAGAAUGGAAUCAAGGAAGGGAAUAACCAGCUCCCUGCAGCCAACGUGGCCCUAGCCUGAGCCCAAUCAAUGUAUGGCAUUAUGGAAGGACGGUCAAGGUCUAGUAGAGUCUCCGCCGCCAGGGAUACCAACAACUGUGUCAAGGACCACACAAGGCCACAAAUGAUCCUGCAAUUUCUCAACAGAGGAGCAGACCUAGAGAACAGUGGGCCCAGGCAGGUGGUUUUCCAGAGCAGAGGAGUCUUGUCUGUGCGGGCCUUCAUCUCCAAGACAAGGCUGAGUCUCACGGGCAGGGCGGCAGGUCCUCAGACAGGACCAGUAGGAUCAAGAUAAGAGUGCAGAGCUCAAAAGGUAUAUGAUCGGCAGUACUCAGGUGGAGGGCAGGGUGAGGAAGAAGAGCUGCAGGUGAGAAGGGAGAGAGCCAGCAAUGUGGGAUCAGUGGCUAGGUACUGUCCCAACUUCGCUGAGCUCAAUGUGCAUCUCCCAGCACUGGCUUCCCCACAUAAUCCCUCAGUCCCUGGGUGAUUCGGGACAUUCUGGAAAGAUGCGGAAGGAACAAGUGAGACAGUGGUCACAUCUGUUUCACACUCAAAGGUCAAUGCAGAGCCCCAGACGCAGGCACAGCUCACAUACACUGUCACCACCGGUGAGCUGGUGCACCUGGCUGAGGCAGGGACAAGUCCACCCCCUUGCCUGCAGCUCCCACAGGACCUCCCCAGCAGCUCAUCCGAUUCCCAGGCCAUGAUGUGUUUAAAGCAAACUGGGGUGCCAGUUUCUCCUCCAGUCCUCAGCAUCCCCAAAACUGGAAGCUUGCCAGCAGCGAAGAAUGUGUGUGGAGAUCGGCUCAUCCUCGCAGUUUCCAGUGUGCCAUUGCUCCACGGAACUUCCUGCUCAUCCUUCCUUCCCGCCCUGCUGACUUCAGGCCUAACACCAAAUAUACGGAAGCCAACAGCCAUUCGUAACUUGCUUAACUAGCUCCUACAACUGGAUGAGGUCAAAUCCUGAUCAUAAAUCCCAUAUUCUCUACCAUUCCCAUGGUUCCACUUCUCUCGUCAAACCAUGACUGAUACAGAAUUUGGUACCAAAACUAGUACUGAAAAACAAAGCACGUCAAAUGUUAAUAAUCAACUCAUCGUUCACUUGGAAUAUUUGUGAGUCCUACUUCCAUUAGGCUGCAAGGUAUGCUGAAGGACUAGAUUAUGUAUAAGAUAAAGAACUCCACUCAUUGUUGAGUCAAUAAUUAUUCAUGAUUUUAUUAAAAGUCCCUUUAGAGAACAGUAGGAAAUUAAUUCUUAGCUAACAUCAGCUUGGGAGAGGAAAAGGAGGUUAUUAUUAUUAUUAUUUUUUUUAGUGUACAGGUGUUAAUAAUAUAAAAUUAACCAUAUAGAUAUUAUACUUCCAUACAUGUUUCUAAUAAUCAAUUACUAUGUUGCUUUAAUACUAUAAUAGUCUCAUUAAAUCAACACUGCUUAACUAAAAUGGUCA